GUCGGGUUCGGGAUGAAGUGGUUGACCGUUCCACCCAUCACCGCCAGCGUGCGCUUGCCGUCCUGCACCAUCUGCACACCACGGCUGCGAAACUCCUU
rnacentral:sRNA from 1 species